CCUGACUCCUUGUGGAAAGACCUAGGCCCAAUGCCCAAAUCCUGGAGUGUGAUGACCCAAGAACAGCUUGAAGCCAUGGGAGUAACUAAAAAAAUCAUUAACUGCAACACAGUGGGACACCCUCGCUACCACACAGAAAUUUGUGAAGACCCCCCCUAUGGAACAAGACUCAAAAGCUCCUCAUGAUUGCUUUGAGCAAAUGAAGAUGGAAACCACACAUCUACCAACUGUACAUGAGACUGCUCUACCUAACCCAGACCAGACACUGUUUGUGGAUGGCUCCAGAUUUGCUGAUGAACAAGGCCACUAUCACACCGGAUAUGCAGUUACCACAG